rnacentral:rRNA from 1 species
UGAGGAACAUGAUCUUCGGCGGGGGAUAGCCGGCCCAACGGCCGGGUAAUACCGCGUACGACCACAUGGGGACAUCCCUGAGUGGUGAAAGCAGCAAUGCGCCGAUGGAGUGCCUCGCGGCCUAUCAGCUAGUUGGUGAGGUAACGCUCACCAAGGCGACGGACGGGUANCUGGUCUGAGAGGAUGGGCCCGGCCACAUUGGAACUGAGACCACGGUCCAGACCUCGUACGGGA